AGUGAACGCUGGCGGUAGGCCUAACACAUGCAAGUCGAACGGCAGCACAGUAAGAGCUUGCUCUUACGGGUGGCGAGUGGCGGACGGGUGAGGAAUACAUCGGAAUCUACUUUUUCGUGGGGGAUAACGUAGGGAAACUUACGCUAAUACCGCAUACGACCUACGGGUGAAAGCAGGGGAUCUUCGGACCUUGCGCGAUUGAGUGAGCCGAUGUCGGAUUAGCUAGUUGGCGGGGUAAAGGCCCACCAAGGCGACGAUCCGUAGCUGGUCUGAGAGGAUGAUCAGCCACACUGGAACUGAGACACGGUCCAGACUCCUACGGGAGGCAGCAGUGGGGAAUAUUGGACAAUGGGCGCAAGCCUGAUCCAGCCAUACCGCGUGGGUGAAGAAGGCCCUCGGGUUGUAAAGCCCUUUUGUUGGGAAAGAAAAGCAGCAGGUUAAUACCCCGCUGUUCUGACGGUACCCAAAGAAUAAGCACCGGCUAACUUCGUG
rnacentral:rRNA from 1 species